rnacentral:rRNA from 1 species
UACGGGGGGGGCAAGCGUUGUUCGGAAUUACUGGGCGUAAAGGGCCAGUAGGCGGCCAACUAAGUCGGAUGUGAAAUCCCCAGGCUCAACUUGGGAACUGCAUCCGAUACUGGAUGGCUUGAAUUCGGGAGAGGGAUGCAGAAUUCCAGGUGUAGCGGUGAAAUGCGUAGAUAUCUGGAGGAAUACCGGUGGCGAAGGCGGCAUCCUGGACCGACAUUGACGCUGAACGGCGAAAGCUAGGGGAGCAAACGG